GAAUAGUCCUUGUCAAGGUGGAGGUAAUCAUUCAAUGAAGGUUUACUGAGGGUGAUUUUGCUGAAACC
rnacentral:snRNA from 1 species